ensembl:lncRNA
GGAAUGUCUCAGUCCUGCUCUGAGAGCAGGCUCCUGGCUCCCAGCCAGGGGGGAGUUUCUGCAGGCACAUGGCCACACCAUGUGCCAUUGCCAGGGAAGCUCCUGCUCCUGGGCAGGAUUAUUUUUGUCACCUGCACAGCUUUUGCUCCAGAGCUGUGCUCCAGGAGCCUCAAUAUUUAUGUGUCACCGAUUUGUCAUCUGCCUGGGAACAUCUGCUACAGGAAAGAGGAGGCUCCAGCGCAGUCAGCAAUCCUGGAAUGAGGACAUUUGCCUGCUCCCACACAGGCAGGAAAGAAGCUGAGGAGGGAUUUCAGUCCCUUCCCUCUCCUCCACGCCACAGCUUCUCUCCCCCAGGCUCCCUCGGGCUGGCUGUCUCGCAUUUUUACAAAAACAGUAACAAUAUCAUACUUAGGGCCAUAUGGAGAGCAAAUUAAAAAAAUUCUAUAAAAAUCUCAGCUGUUUUGUGGGAUAGAAAAGAGAAUUUCCAUCCUCCAGCCUUCCAGACUGUCCUACAGCCCAACUCUCUGUGCCAAACAUCCCUUUUUUUUCUUCCCUUCUGGCUCCAAGGAGUCCUCCCUAGAUUUAUAUCCCACAUUUCCUUGGCAUUCCCCUCCUGUGGGAUACCUGGGAGCAGUUUGGUGCCAGAACUACCCACAUGUGCCUGGAGGUCACAGCUGGCAGACACCAGCCAGGAGAACCAGGAAUGAGCUCAGCAGCAGGGAGAGGAGAGAUCCUGGUACCUGGAGAUCUGCCAUGAGCAGCUCAUUCCAGCCUGGAAUUGUGCAUUUCCUGAGGAAUACACAAAUUUCACAAAGAUACGCCUGGUGCUGAGGGAGCACCAGGUCUCCCUGAGGGAUGUGAAUGGCCUUUAACCAGAUCCCAGCAGGCAGAAGCCAAAACAGAGAAUCAUUUUGGAAAAAGACAAAGUUUUGGGGGUACCUUUUCUCUCCCAAAUCCACCCCAGGAAUUCCUGCAGCAGGCAGGAAUCUGCUCCCUGCUGCACUCUCUGAGAGGAAAAAGUGCAGCUGCUCGAGGCAGAGCCCAAACACAUCCCAGCCUGGGCCAGACGUGAGGAGAGGAACCAUCUCCUGCUGCAGCAGCAGUAAAAAUCCUUCACAACUGCUAAAGCCACAGGGAAACAAAUAUUUUUCUUCUUUUACAGCCUCUCAUCCUCUCCCCUCCUUCCUUGGCUGGUACAAGGCUGAGGGAAGCCAAUUGCAAUUAAACGUUUUGCUCCUCCACGAAGGGCUGCGUUUGUAAACAACAACAGUCAGACAAAAAAACCUGCAGCUCUCAGCAAAAGCAGCCAAGCUUCCCUCACAAAACAUCGCAGGUUUCCAGCAGGAAAUCAUCCCCAGCUCUCCCUCGGCACUGCCUCACCCCUCCAACCCCUCUUUGGCCCAGAUUUAGAGCCUGUCACUGCUCAUCUGAAGCAGAGGAUGCAGGCACGGAGACACCCUGGCCUGGAAGGCGUUCUCCUGGAAAAGCACUGCAAACCUG